UGGGGGAUAUUGCACAAUGGGCGAAAGCCUGAUGCAGCGACGCCGCGUGGGGGAUGAAGGCCUUCGGGUUGUAAACUUCUUUUGCUCUGAACAAGGCAUGCUAAUGGGUGUGUUGAGUGUAGGGGUUGAUUAGCGCCGGCUAACUACGUGCCAGCAGCCGCGGUAAUACGUAGGGCGCGAGCGUUGUCCGGAAUUAUUGGGCGUGAAGGGCUUGUAGGUGGCUGGUUGCGUCUGUCGUGAAAGCUCAUGGCUUAACUGUGGGUUUGCGGUGGGUACGGGCUGGCUAGAGUGCAGUAGGGGAGGGUGGAAUGCCUGGUGUAGCGGUGGAAUGCGCAGAUAUCAGGAGGAGUACCGGUGGCGAAGGCGGGUCUCUGGGCUGUUACUGACACUGAGGAGCGAAAGCAUGGGGAGCGAGCAGG
rnacentral:rRNA from 1 species